AGGGUGUAAACGCUGCAGACUUGGUGUUGGAGGCCCUUUGGGGGCAUUCAGUGCCGGAGAGAAGUUGUUAAGUCUGCUACUUGGGGGAGUACGUCCGCAAGGAUGAAACUUAAAGGAAUUGGCGGGGGGAGCACCGCAACGGGAGGAGCGUGCGGUUUAAUUGGAUUCAACACCGUAAAACUCACCAGGGAAGACUGUUACAUGAAGGCCGAGAUGAAGACUCUGCUAGAUUUUCAGAGAGGAGGUGCAUGGCGUCAGUGACU
rnacentral:rRNA from 1 species